rnacentral:rRNA from 1 species
UACGUAGGUGGCAAGCGUUGUCCGGAAUUACUGGGUGUAAAGGGAGCGCAGGCGGGGAUACAAGUUGGAUGUGAAAUACCGAGGCUUAACUUCGGAGCUGCAUCCAAAACUGUAAUUCUUGAGUGAAGUAGAGGUAGGCGGAAUUCCGAGUGUAGCGGUGAAAUGCGUAGAUAUUCGGAGGAACACCAGUGGCGAAGGCGGCCUACUGGGCUUUAACUGACGCUGAGGCUCGAAAGUGUGGGGAGCAAAC